rnacentral:rRNA from 1 species
UACGGAGGAUCCAAGCGUUGUCCGGAUUUAUUGGGUUUAAAGGGUGCGUAGGCGGCCCGUUAAGUCAGUGGUGAAAGUUUGCGGCUUAACCGUAAAAUUGCCAUUGAAACUGAUGGGCUUGAGUAUGGUUGAGGUGGGCGGAAUGUGUCAUGUAGCGGUGAAAUGCUUAGAUAUGAUACAGAACACCGAUUGCGAAGGCAGCUCACUAAACCAUAACUGACGCUGAGGCACGAAAGCGUGGGGAUCAAACAGG